rnacentral:rRNA from 1 species
GCGGGUCAGCGUUAUCGGAUUUACUGGGCGUAAGCGCACGCAGGCGGUCUUGUCAGUCGGAAGUUGAAUCCCCGGGCUUCAACCCGGGAACCGCACCCGAAACCGGCAGGCUAGAGUUUUCGUAGAAGGGGGGUAGAAUUCCAGGUGUAGCGGUGAAACGCGUAGAGAUCUGGAGGAAUACCGGUGGCGAAGGCGGCCCCCUGGACAAAGACUGACGCUCAGGUGCGAAAGCGUGGGGGAGCAAACAGGAUUAGAUACCCUGGUAGUCCACGCCGUAAACGAUGUCGAUUUUGGAGGUUGUGCCCUUUGAGGCGUGGCUUCCGGAGCUAACGCGUUAAAUCGACCGCCUGGGGAGUACGGCCGCAAGGUUAAAACUCAAAUGAAUUGACGGGGGCCCGCACAGCGGUGGAGCAUGUGGUUUAAUUCGAUGCAACGCGAAGAACCUUACCUGGUCUUGACAUCCACAGAACUUUCCAGAGAUGGAUUGGUGCCUUCAGGAACUGUGAGACAGUGCCUGCAUGGCUGUCGUCAGCUCGUGUUGUGAAUUGUUGGGUUAAGUCCCGCAACGAGCGCAACCCUUAUCUUUGUUGCAGCGGUUAGGCGGGACUCAAAGGAGACUGCAUGAUAACUGGAGAAAAGG